GCUGGGUGUGGUGGUGCAUGCCUGUAGUCCCAGCUACUCGGGAGGCUGAGGCAGGAGAAUCGCUUGAACCCAGGAGACAGAGGUUGCAGUGAGCUGAGAUCACACCACUGUACUCCAGCCUGGGUGACAGAGUGAGACUCUGUCUCAA
rnacentral:sRNA from 1 species